rnacentral:rRNA from 1 species
AGUGAACGCUGGCGGCGUGCCUAAUACAUGCAAGUCGAACGGAGAUUAAGUAGCCUGCUAUUUAUUCUUAGUGGCGCACGGGUGAGUAAUAUAUAGCUAACUUGCCCAUUACUAAGGGACAACAGUUGGAAACGACUGCUAAUACCUUAUACUCCGUAUCUAUAUAAGUAGAUACGGGAAGGUUUUUCGGUAAUGGAUGGGGCUAUAUCGUAUCAGCUAGUUGUUAAGGUAUUGGCUUACCAAGGCUAUGACGCGUAACUGGUCUGAGAGGAUGCUCAGUCAAACUGGAACUGAGACACCAUCCAGACUCCUUCGGGAGGGAGCAGUAGGGAAUAUUGCUCAAUGGGGGAGACCCUGGAGCAGCAUCGCAGCGUGGAAGAUGACAAUUUUCGAAGCGUAAACUCCUUUUCAUGGGAAAGAAUUAUGACGGUACCCAAGGAAUAAGCACCGGCUAACUCCGUG